UACGUAGGGCGCAAGCGUUAUCCGGAAUUAUUGGGCGUAAAGAGCUCGUAGGCGGUUUGUCGCGUCUGCCGUGAAAGUCCGGGGCUCAACUCCGGAUCUGCGGUGGGUACGGGCAGACUAGAGUGAUGUAGGGGAGACUGGAAUUCCUGGUGUAGCGGUGAAAUGCGCAGAUAUCAGGAGGAACACCGGUGGCGAAGGCGGGUCUCUGGGCCGAAACUGACGCUGAGGAGCGAAAGCGUGGGGAGCAAACAGG
rnacentral:rRNA from 1 species